CCAGCCUUCCUGGGGCUUCCUUUCCCAAACCUCUGCCUUCAGCUCUGCACUUACUGCUCCCCUUCCUGGUCAGAAGGUUAACCUCUGCUUGAGAUGUCUCCUCGCUUAGAAAGGUGGGAACCUCGUGUAGCUGUCUUCUGAGAGGCUCCACUCAGCAGUAGAUCAAAACAGCUCGGGGCAUACAAAGUCAAGAUUCCUGUUCUUUCCCCAAGCCAUUUCCUUCAUCCAUUUCUCAACCUCUUGACUGGUCGUCUGCUUAUCGCCUGCUCCAUCCUUCAUAUGUGACACCUACAAUGGCUUUUCCGCCUCUGAUCUUUCAGAUUUUCUUCCCCAAGUGUAACUGAUACUUGCUGGUUGAUUAUCCAGUCUCCAUAAAGGCCUAGAGUAAAUAACCAACCUGGCAUUCUCUAGACCCAUCCUUUUCUUUUACUGACAAGAAAUCCUAGACGGCAGCUGGCUACGACUCAGCAACUCACCUGAGACUCCCGGCAAUCCUUAAGGUGGAAGCUUGGGAUCUUCCAAGUCAAGUGCAGCGUGCAGCUUCCUGAAUUAAGACUCAUGACCUUGGAAGAGUGGUCGACGCUUUGCUCACCUCAGUGUGGACCAGCCACCGCCACAGUGCAGCGAGUGUGUGUGAUGGCUGGCUUGUUUAUAAUUCUCUAUUUACUUAAAAAUGUGGAAAUGGGAACUGCGCUGUGAACACUACCCCAAGCCUCAUUCCUACACUUCAAGUCUUUGGGAACCUCUGAUCCUCACUGGGUCUCAGUUGGCAAAACGGUGGAACUGAGGGAUGGAGAACCACGAAGGUCUCACCCUGCUUCGAGAAUCAUAGGCCAUAACAAUUACGCCAACAUUUCUUAGUUUACCUAACACAGUUUACUUAACUUUUGAAACUUCAGACUAUACACAAGUAAGUAAAGUAAAAAUGCCAACCAAGCUGUUGU